rnacentral:rRNA from 1 species
UACGGGGGGGGCAAGCGUUAUUCGGAAUUAUUGGGCGUAAAGGGCGCGUAGGCGGCCAUGCGUGUCUUCCGUGAAAUCCCUCGGCUUAACUGAGGACGUGCGGAAGAAACUGCAAGGCUUGAGUCCGGGAGAGGGGGGUGGAAUUCCCAGUGUAGCGGUGAAAUGCGUAGAUAUUGGGAGGAACACUGGUGGCGAAGGCGGCCCCCUGGACCGGUACUGACGCUGAGGCGCGAAAGCGUGGGUAGCAAACGGG